AUUGAACGCUGGCGGUAGGCCUAACACAUGCAAGUCGAACGAGUGGCGGACGGGUGAGGAAUGCAUCGGAAUCUGCUCUGUAGUGGGGGAUAACGUCUGGAAACUUACGCUAAUACCGCAUACGAUUGGAUGAGCCCAUGUCGGAUUAGCUAGUUGGCGGGGUAAAGGCCCACCAAGGCGACGAUCCGUAGCUGGUCUGAGAGGAUGAUCAGCCACACUGGAACUGAGAUACGGUCCAGACUCCUACGGGAGGCAGCAGUGGGGAAUAUUGGACAAUGGGCGCAAGCCUGAUUCAGCCAUACCGCGUGGGUGAAGAAGGCCUUAGGGUUGUAAAGUCCUUUUGGUGGGAAAGCGGUACCCAAAGAAGAAGCACCGGCUAACUCCGUGCCAGCAGCCGCGGUAAUUC
rnacentral:rRNA from 1 species